rnacentral:rRNA from 1 species
GAUGAACGCUGGCGGCGUGCCUAAUACAUGCAAGUCGAGCGAACAGACGAGGAGCUUGCUCCUCUGACGUUAGCGGCGGACGGGUGAGUAACACGUGGAUAACCUACCUAUAAGACUGGGAUAACUUCGGGAGACCGGAGCUAAUACCGGAUAAUAUAUUGAACCGCAUGGUUCAAUAGUGAAAGACGGCUUUGCUGUCACUUAUAGAUGGAUCCGCGCCGCAUUAGCUAGUUGGUAAGGUAACGGCUUACCAAGGCAACGAUGCGUAGCCGACCUGAGAGGGUGAUCGGCCACACUGGAACUGAGACACGGUCCAGACUCCUACGGGAGGCAGCAGUAGGGAAUCUUCCGCAAUGGGCGAAAGCCUGACGGAGCAACGCCGCGUGAGUGAUGAAGGUCUUCGGAUCGUAAAACUCUGUUAUUAGGGAAGAACAAAUGUGUAAGUAACUAUGCACGUCUUGACGGUACCUAAUCAGAAAGCCACGGCUAACUACGUG